UCAACUGUAUCAAAAAGCAUUGCUCCUUUAUUGCACGUUAAAGAGCCCAGAGCCACAUAAAGCAGCCUACGAUGCAAUCCAGCUACUUGGCUGAGAGGAGAUGGUCAGUGAAGACAAAAAGAACAUGAAAUAUUGCAAGCAUUAUGCAGCAUUAAUUGAGGAGAUGUACAAUAGUGUGAGUGAACACAGGAGAUGCAUCAGCCCAGAGCUGGGAUCAGGGAAGACUCCCAGAGGAAGCAGCCACGCUGAAAUCUGAAGUAUGAGUAUGAGUCAGCAGAGUGAAGGAGAUGAGUGGAGUCACCACGAGACAAGCAAAGGGGCCUGCAUUAACAGAGAAGAUCGUGGGGAAGCAAAUGCUGCGGCAUCUUUGGAAAACAGUUCAGAAAGCAGUUUCUCAUAAAGUUAAAUGUACGCUUGUCAUACAAUCUAGCAAUCCCACUCCAAGAUAACAACGUUGAAGGACUUGGGUUCCUCAAGCGUAGAGCAG